GAGAGAUGGCUGAGUGGUUGAUAGCUCCGGUCUUGAAAACCGGUAUAGUUUGAACAAAAAACUAUCGUGGGUUCGAAUCCCUCUCUCUCCU
rnacentral:tRNA from 1 species